AGAGGUUUGGAUCCUGGCUCAGGACGAACGCUGGCGGCGUGCUUAACACAUGCAAGUCACGGGGGGUAGCAAUAUCAACCGGCGAACGGGUGCGUAACACGUGAGCAACCUACCGAUUUGUGGGGGAUAGCCGGCCCAACGGCCGGGUAAUACCGCAUACGCUCUUUGGGGGACAUCCCCUGGGGAGGAAACCUCCGGGGCAAAUCGAGGGGCUCGCGGCCUAUCAGCUAGUUGGCGAGGUCACGGCUCACCAAGGCGACGACGGGUAGCUGGUCUGAGAGGAUGGCCAGCCACAUUGGGACUGAGAAACGGCCCAGACUCCUACGGGAGGCAGCAGUGGGGAAUCUUGCGCAAUGGGCGAAAGCCUGACGCAGCGACGCCGCGUGGGGGAUGACGGGUUUCGGCUUGUAAACCCCUGUUGCCCGGGACGAACUUCUGGAUUUGUCCAGAUUGACGGUACCGGGUGAGGAAGCACCGGCUAACUCCGUGCCAGCAGCCGCGGUAAUACGGAGGGUGCGAGCGUUGUCCGGAAUCACUGGGCGUAAAGGGCGCGUAGGUGGCGGAUCAAGUCAACGGUGAAAGCUCGGGGCUCAACCCCGAGUCGGCCGUCGAUACUGGCUCGCUUGAGCACUGUAAGGCAGAUGGAAUUCCGGGUGUAGCGGGGAAUGCGUAAGAUCCCGGAAGAACACCGG
rnacentral:rRNA from 1 species